rnacentral:lncRNA from 1 species
GAUUGCAUUGUAACGUUUAUUCUUUUUGUUGUGCGGAUCGCUGCGUGUGGACAAAAUGAUACCUGCUCACCAGCUGUAAACAUUUGGGACAACAUAGAGCGCAAAAUCAGAUUGCUACCGCCCCAUCCCAAUCCCUUCCGGACCUGCCCCAUUCCAUCCCCCAACGGGUCCCCUGACGCAGGAUACUCCAAAGUGCUCCGAGCCGAAGGGGCUCCGCUGCCAUCCCAGCUGGAAGCUCUCGGAGGCUCACGAUGUGCGCGCUCACAGGAAAGGAUCUGAGAUGUCCUGUGGUAGACGCACCUUUUGUCUUGAUGCCAUCUCAUGCUCCGGAUCCAGCUUGUCCACGGAAUGCCUUAUCCCGUAAUGAGGGUUCGCGUGCCUUCCAGAGAGCAAAUGCUGGCAAGGCUGCGGCACAUGCUGUCCUCACGAGACCUGCGCCCAGCCAACAGGUAUUGAUCAGGCAGAGACUCUGGCCGGGCGCCGCUGGGCUCUGCAGGCUCAGGGCUGAAGGAGGCAAAGCCCUGAUCCCACAGUGCCCACUUUUUAUGCUGAGCUUCUCCAACAAUACAGCCUUGUUUUCUACAAAUUAUGAUCGUUUUUGUCUCCCAGUGUCCAUGACUGUUUUCAUCUUCUUGUCUAAUUGCUUGAUCACUUUUGGAACUAUGUUACACAAGAGCAGGGAUAAAAGACACUCCUAACUCUGUGGCUCUAAUGGAAUGCUUGUGGCAUUUUUACAAUAAAUUCUGAUGGUAAUUUUUGGAUUGAAAUGUGUGUUGUCUUUAUAAGGAGGUGUCCACCACUUCCAUUUCAAGGAUCAGAAGUGGAUACUAAAUUUCAUGAAAUAUCUUUAUGGCUUGUAAGAAAUGGCUGCAUGAUGUUUUCCCUUGUCCUAUUAAUUUGGCUGAAGUAUUUUUAAAAGUUUCCCAAAAGGAACAGUUCCUGGAUUGUGCAGAUUAUCAUGGUAUGUUGUUUGCUUUAUUUGCUAUCUCUUGGUUCAAACUUUGGCAGAGACCUUGAAGUACCUUUCCUGCGAUAAUCUAUGCCAGCUGUGGCUUCCAGGUUAUGCAGGGCUUCAUAAAAUAGUCAAGUGAUUUCUGUCUUUCUUGAUGCCCUGGAAUUGCUGAAAUAGUGUAGGGAUAAUCAGUUCCUUGAAGAUCUGAGAAAAUAAGACUCUGGCAAGCAGCAAUGUAUGCCCUGCUAAUGACGCUGUAAACUGUUUCAGCCACUUUGGAAAGUGAUUUGUUAAUAUCUAGUUAAGUUGAAAACAUUGAUAGCGUAGAAUCCCACACCACCACACCUCUAUCUGCACCCCUGGAGAAGCUCUCUCACACAAGGAGAGAGAUGCCAGCAUGUUCACUGCAGCACUAUUUUGGUUAACGAAUUGAAAAUGACCUAAAUGGUCUAACAGGGGACUGGAUAAGGUAACUUAUGCGAUAGAGCCAUCUGCGGCAGCUGAAGCAAUAAGAGUAAGAUCUCCCCUGUCAACCUGGAAAGUUCUCAGAAACAAAAUAUGAGGGGGAGGGAGAAGAAACAGAACAAGAACAUGUCUAUUUUAAUACAAUUGGCAUAUAAAUAACACAGGAAACAAUACUAUAUAUGAUUUUUGGAUGCCCAUAUAUUAUCAACAGUACAAAAGAGAAGGAUAUUCACACUUUUAAGAAUCUGGCUUUCAGAGUUCCCUUGCAGCACAGCAGGUUAAAGAUCUGGCCUUGUUACUGCUGUGGCUCGGGUGGCUGCUCUGGCUUGGGUUUGAUCCCUGGCCCAGGAACUUCCACAUGCUGUGGAUAUAGAAAAAAAAUCAUUUCCGCUGGGGAGGGAAGGAGAGGAACAGAAAUGGUACUUGAAAUGUCUUGGUAUUAUUUUAGUCACUAAAUCUAAAAGGUCUGCUGUAAAUACAGAACCACCAUGCCACCUCCUAAAGCUGAGCAGUAAGACAUGGGUGUUUGUUAUACUAACCACACUUCAUUUAAGGCCUUACCUCAUCCUCUGUUGCCUUUAUUAAUUUUGACCUGGUUUCUCCAUUAAGGGCUAAGGGGAGGGGGUCUUUCAAAGUCACCUGUUAUGUCUCUUUGCAGUUCUCCCAUUUAUGCUUUUUUCGAAACUGGAGAUGGGGGCCGGGCAUGAUGACUGUUACUCUCUGGGGACCUUGACCUGGAUAACCCAGUGCCCACAGCAGGUGUUCCAUAAGCCAUGGACCAGGGCCUCCUCCUCAGCAUCGCCACCGCAGCUCUAGAGCUUCUCCCAGCUUCUCUGCACCACCUGCCCAGGAUGAAGCCCUUGGCCUGUGGUCAGGUCCAGGCUUAGGCGGAAACAGCACCCUGUGAGGAGUCAUACGCAGACCCCUGCACUUGCUGGCACCCUGUACGCCACUUGCUGCUCUGCCGACUUGCAAUGCUGAUUCCCAGGUUACUCGUCGGGGCUGUCCCACCGGGUUACCGGCAAUAAGGGCGAGCACCUUUGCCCCCUCGUC